CUCCCUCCCCCAUUUAACCUCUCAGUCACGCCAAUAGGCAUAGCAAAGAUAUACCCACCACAAUGCAGCGUUACGGAAUUGUUUGUCUUCUUAUUGCCUUAAUUUUCGUCCUAAUAGCAGAAUCUCUCCCGGCGAGUGACUGGGGUGACUCUGAGGAGAACCGAGAAAAGAGAGGAUGCAGGGAUACGAUGGGUGAGUGUGGCAUCUGGGCCAAGAGCGGCAAGUGUAAUUCAAAGAACCCGAAGGCAGCUUCGACCAUGAGGUUCUUCUGCCCAGAGUCGUGUAACCAGUGCCGGAGAAAGAGGGACGAGCGACAAUGGUACAUGUUCCGACGAUAGAUGGUAAAGACAUCUGGUGUUGGAGUGAUAAACGGCCAAUCAACGAAGACUCAUUCUCUCGUCGCUAUUCAUUGAAAGGACUUCAGGGCGCGUGUACUUCAGACGGUAUGACUUUCGGAUAGGUUUCUAUGGUAGCGAAAGAUGGAAGCACUGUUCCGUGGCACAUGGGCGGUUGUUGUUACAGACAUGUAUGUGAGGAGAAGCGAUCGUCUGACCACAGGCCUUUUUUAAUUUUUUAAAACAAGAAGUUUGAACUUUGAGGGGAACUAUAUUGGCAGGAUCAUGGGGAUCCGAUUUUGGGUCUCCGUACUAUAGAGUAAGGGAAUUGCGUCUGGUUUGACAGAGGCCAAAUGAUUUAAAACGAUGUCUUCGCGUGUUGCGAAAUAACAGUGACCCUAAUCGGGUCGAAUUGUUUCUUGCCUAUUCAGUCUUCCUUCAAUCGAACCGAAAUGACGCACUCCAUUAUUUAUGACUCGAAAGAACUAUUCAGGAAGUUUCAGAAUCAAGGUGUAUAUGUAUAUUCAAAACGAUACGCUGCGCAAAAGUUAGAAUAUCAGUCAACGGAAUAUUAGGUAAUUCAUGUGAUCAGAAAAAAAUAUUAAAAUAUGUCAUUCA